UAAGGAAUAUUGGUCAAUGGGCGGAAGCCUGAACCAGCCAUGCCGCGUGCAGGAAGACGGCCCUACGGGUUGUAAACUGCUUUUAUACCGGAAUAAACCUUUUCACGUGUGAGAAGCUGAAUGUACGGUAAGAAUAAGGAUCGGCUAACUCCGUGCCAGCAGCCGCGGUAAUACGGAGGAUCCAAGCGUUAUCCGGAUUUAUUGGGUUUAAAGGGUGCGUAGGUGGCUUAUUAAGUCAGGGGUGAAAGACGGUGGCUCAACCAUCGCAGUGCCCUUGAUACUGAUGAGCUUGAAUGGACUAGAGGUAGGCGGAAUGUGACAAGUAGCGGUGAAAUGCAUAGAUAUGUCACAGAACACCGAUUGCGAAGGCAGCUUACUAUGGUUUUAUUGACGCUGAGGCACGAAAGCGUGGGGAUCAAACA
rnacentral:rRNA from 1 species